AGUGAACGCUGGCGGUAGGCCUAACACAUGCAAGUCGAACGGCAGCACAGUAAGAGCUUGCUCUUACGGGUGGCGAGUGGCGGACGGGUGAGGAAUACAUCGGAAUCUACUUUUUCGUGGGGGAUAACGUAGGGAAACUUACGCUAAUACCGCAUACGCCCUACGGGUGAAAGCAGGGGAUCUUCGGACCUUGCGCGAUUGAAUGAGCCGAUGUCGGAUUAGCUAGUUGGCGGGGUAAAGGCCCACCAAGGCGACGAUCCGUAGCUGGUCUGAGAGGAUGGUCAGCCACACUAGAACUGGGACACGGUCCAGAGUCCUACGGGAGGCAGCAGUGGGGAAUAUUGGGCAAUGGGCGCAAGCCUGAUCCAGCCAUACCGCGUGGGUGAAGAAGGCCUUCGGGUUGGAAAGCCCUUUUGUUGGGAAAGAAAAGCAGCAGGUUAAUACCCCGCUGUUCUGACGGUACCCAGAGAAUAAGCACCGGCUAACUUCGUG
rnacentral:rRNA from 1 species